rnacentral:rRNA from 1 species
GCGCAGCAGGCGAGAAAACUUCACAAUGUGCGAAAGCACGAUGAGGGAAUCCCAAGUGCUUGCUCGUAAGAGUAAGCUGUUUCUCUGUCUAAAACGCAGAGAGAGUAAGGGCUGGGUAAGACGGGUGCCAGCCGCCGCGGUAAUACCUGCAGCUCGAGUGGUGGCCGCUAUUAUUGGGCCUAAAACGUCCGUAGCCGGUUUAUUAAAUGCCUGGGUAAAUCGGACCGCUUAACGGUUCGAAUUCCGGGUAGACUGAUAAACUUGAGACCGGGAGAAGCUAGAGGUACUCCUGGGGUAGAGGUGAAAUUCUGUAAUCCUAGGGGACCACCAGUGGCGAAGGCGUCUAGCUAGAACGGGUCUGACGGUGAGGGACGAAGCCCUGGGGCGCAAACGGGGAUUAGAUACCCGUGUAGU